rnacentral:rRNA from 1 species
UACAGAGGGUGCGAGCGUUAAUCGGAAUUACUGGGCGUAAAAGGGCGCGUAGGCGGUUAAUUAAGUUAGAUGUGAAAGCCCUGGGCUUAACCUAGGAAUUGCAUCUAAGACUGGUUAGCUUGAGUGCGGUAGAGGGUAGUGGAAUUUCCGGUGUAGCGGUGAAAAUGCGUAGAUAUCGGAAGGAACACCAGUGGCGAAGGCGGCUACCUGGACUGACACUGACGCUGAGGCGCGAAAAGCGUGGGGGAGCAAAACAGG